CCCUUAGAUGUCCUGGGCUGCACGCGCGCUACACUGAUGUGUCCAGUAAGCACCUAACCUCUUCCGAAAGGAACGGGUAACCUUUGCAAAGCACAUCGUGAUGGGGAUAGAUUAUUGCAAUUAUUAGUCUUGAACGAGGAAUUCCUAGUAAGCACAAGUCAUGAGCUUGUGUUGAUUACGUCCCUGCCCUUUGUACACACCGCCCGUCGCUCCUACCGAUUGAAUGUUCCGGUGAGCUCUUCGGACUGCGCGGUCUGCAGUUUCUGCGUUCCGUGCGGAAAGUUGCGCAAACCUUAACAUUUAGAGGAAGGAGAAGUCGUAACA
rnacentral:rRNA from 1 species